rnacentral:lncRNA from 1 species
AAUCAAAGGCCCAGGAUGAAGGACGGAGACACAAGAACAAACGCCACAAGCUUCGUCUUAAAAUAAAGGAUCUUGAGGGAAGGGGUCCUCUUCUGACCGAAGAGGUCAGAAAGCAGAUACAGGCAGAAUAUAGGGACUCGGACGAGCUUAACGUCGAGAUCAUGAAAGUCUACUCGGAAGGCUACGAAGACUGCCGAGAGAGAGGCAAAGAAAAACUGUCUGCUGCUCAACUGGAU